AACCUGAAUUUAAUCAUAUAAGUAAGUGGUGGAAAAUAAACCAAAUUGGAUUUCUUUAGUAAUUGCGAAUGAACAAGGAUAGGCUUAGCUUGACAAAUGGAGCUAUUAGCUUUGAAUUGUAUUGUGGAAAUGUAUUACCAACAGAGGUGCAGGUGCCAGCCUAUUGAAAGAAAGCGUCAAUGAGGGUGAUAAUCCUGUUUGUCAUGUGCAGCCCUCUGUGCACGGUGUAUAUUUGUUGAGUCACACUCCUUGGCAUUGGAAUGCAAAGUGGGUGGUAAGUUUCAUGUAAAGGUAAAUAUGCAAUUGAGACUGAUAGCACACAAGUACCAUGAGGGAAAUAUGAAAAGGACUUUGAAAAGAGAAUUAAAUGAGUUUGUAUUUGCUGAACAAAAAGUAAACAGACUUGAUUUCUUUGGUGAGGUUGUUGUGCUUGCCUGACAAUAAGUUUUGGUGGUGGGUACAAUGAUUCUUUCUUGGCAUGCCAGUUUCUAUUUGUACAUUUGAUUACCUUUGCAUAUGAAUGGGAAGUUUCUUGUGGGGGGGUUGAUUGCAUGUGCAUGUAAUGAUUUGUGUUUUGAUGUAUGAGUCUGGUGUUUCUGUUGGUGUUUCUGUGCUUGAGGUUGAUUCCUUCCUUGGACUGACAAGCCCUGACACCCACAUGCUGGCAAACUGCUUCUGCUUGACCCGUCUUGAAACACGGACCAA
rnacentral:rRNA from 1 species